AAUGACUAAUCUCGUUGGUUGAGGCAAUAUUGGUCAAAUUAACUGUGACAUUGGUAACUAUUAAACAAACAAAUUGGUUAUCUAACAACUAAUAUCAUUGGUUAAGAACAAAUUGGUUGAUUUAACAAAGAUAUUGGUUAACUUCAAUAACAGAUUGGUUGAAAAAUGACUAAUAUCAUUGGUUAAGCAAAUGUUAACUAAGAGAUUGGUAACUGACGCAGGUCUGACGCUCAACGUCAAGUACGUAACUCUGCUUCUCAAUUUUCUGACAAAGCCGCCAUCUUGGUGCUGCAGGAAAGCCGUUUGAGAUAUUGGUGAAAUUCAAACACUUUGUGAGAUGACAGAAUAUUGCUGAAGGAUCCUACAUGGAAGCUGGCUGAUUACACGGAGUGAUUCCUCUGGUGUGGUGUACCUCAGAGAGAUAAACACUGUUGCAAGAGCUGAGAAGAUAUCCUUAUUACUGGAUGGUUGCUCUCUGGUCGUACUUGAGCCCCCUGGACCAUGUCUGCAAAUGCUUCUGAACAUUGACAGAAUUUCUAAAGGAUCGCUGAGGACUCCCCCUCCAUGCGUGACAUCUUUGAGAAAUUUCCACGCUUUCUGGAGAUGCCAAGUUUGACUGGAACCAACUUUGCAUCCCUCAGCACUGACACUGAGAAGGUUUCAAGGACCCCACUACUAGGAGGCGAGAGUUUGACACGGCAGUGUCAUCACUGCCAUGGAUGACAACGUAACCAUUCCUGUUGAUGAUUGCCUGACUUGCGCAGUGACAAGCUUUUCAUGCUCUACUGGGUGUGUAACUUGGCAUAUCCACCACAGUUUAACUCAGUUUUUGCCUCUUUUGAAUAUGUGUACGAUAUAACCAUCUCAACCAACAAGUGGGCCAAGGUACUGGAACAUUUCUCACUUCAAGUUGCUCUGUAGUCACGGGACAUUUUUUUAAACAUCUACGCAGACACCACCACUCCACACCAUGUGUAUUUUAAUUACUUCUGAUUCCACUGACAUGCAGACUACAUCCUAUGCAAAUUCAGGUAAUUUACCUGGUACUGGAGAAACAGCAUUGUAUGCCAUUCUAAGUGAUACUUGCCUCCUUGUUUUGCAAAAAUGUACUGUUCUUUG